UACAGAGGGUGCGAGCGUUAAUCGGAAUUACUGGGCGUAAAGCGCGCGUAGGCGGCUUUGCAAGCCGGAUGUGAAAUCCCCGGGCUUAACCUGGGAACUGCAUUCGGGACUGCAUUGCUAGAGUAUGGGAGAGGGAAGUGGAAUUUCAGGUGUAGCGGUGAAAUGCGUAGAUAUCUGAAGGAACAUCAGUGGCGAAAGCGACUUCCUGGACCAAUACUGACGCUCAUGUGCGAAAGCGUGGGGAGCAAACAGG
rnacentral:ncRNA from 2 species